ensembl:lncRNA
GUCCUAUCCCCCUUGUUUUACAGGUGGCAAAACAGACCUAGAGGACGGGGAGGCACAGCUAGAAAUCGGAGACCUUGCUGCUAAAAUAACCCCUUCUGGUUUAUCUCCCCCACACUCUUUCCUAAAGAAAAACUAAGAGUGUGCGGUGUGUGUGUGCGUGGGGGGUGGGGGAAUGAAACUCUGUCCAUUCUUAGGUUUGUAACAGCCUCAAAAUUACGGAAUCUAUUUAAGGUAAACCUGAUGCUGCCCAUUGUCCAAUGCCUAACACAAAUCAAGCUUAUGGAAAAAGAAUAUUAAAAUUUCCACGUUUUCCCUCGGGUCUGGAACCCCAGGAUUCAAGGGAGAAUUAAACAUUUUCCUCUCCCAUUCCCUUUCUCUUCCGAAGUCCGUAAAUGACAACGUGUUUACACAAGUUUUUAUGUCGUCUGAGCUUCGCCCCGGCCCCGCUUCCUCCUCUGUGUAUGUUCCGCGCAGAGAGAUGUCUGCUUCAGGACGCGUUCAACCUAAACAGAACCCCGUCUGAUUGGAAAAUGUAUUUAUUUGAAAAAUCGUAACUCACAGCUUUGGUGAAAACGGCCCCCAAAUUUAUGGGAUGGCUUGGGGCGCGGCGGUCGUAAAUUAAAAAGCACUGGACAACCCCCUCCCCCAAUCCCCGCAGCGGCACCAGUCAGGUUCUCAGGAGCACCCAGAGACUAGCCCCCUCCCGGCUCCACCCCGCCGCACUCUUCAGCCUCUGCUCCAAUCUCUUGCUGUGGGUAAGUGGCUGUGUUAACAGGCAGGUGGAUUUCAUUCUGGUUCCUUUCACCCAGUCAAGUUAAUUUCAGGGUAGCCUCACUGAGAACGGUUUCAGGUGGUCGGUUAACAGUGAACAGUGUUCUGUUGUGCACCCAUCUGUUUUAGGCAUCUCGGGUUUUCUCUUUAAGUACACGCUGGUAAAUUUCGUGGUAGUGGGCUGCUUGUCCCUAGUCCCCAACCGAGUGAUCAGUGGUGUGCCAGGCUGUCUCAUGCCAAGAGGUUUAUCUCUGGUCAGUGUCAUGAAGGUCAGUUUCAUCGGCGACUGCUGCUGCCCAGGUCUGGGAAAUUUUUUCCUUUCAGUCCAAUCUGAAUUCCCCUGGAGGAUGGAGUCAACACAUUCCGCCUAGUUGCGCGAUCCUUCAGCCAGCCUGCGCCAGCUGAGGACUAGGAUUAGAGGUUGGAACUGCGAGCACGUCCUGGGGAACAGGAGCCGCGGCCGCCAGAGGUGGGGAGCCGCGUAGUCCAGGCGGAGCUGGACUCAUGGGGCCUUCACUCGCAAUCGUCUGCUUCCCCCUGCAAACGCCGGACUGAGCCAUAUCGCUCCGUCUUUUUUUUUUUUCACUAACGAUCAAGCGCCACUUUGGCAGCGUACCCACGGGGAGCAAGGCAAGCUCUCCGCUCCCGGCUUGUCUGUCUAAGCGCUGCUGUCUCGGGCAAACGAGUUUAGCUACUCAAAAUUUGUGCCUUUUGCGCUCGUUUCAAAGGAGCGCUCUGGAGCGCAGGAAGAGCCGCAAAGUAGUGCGGGAAUCCCAGAAUCCGAGGUGGUGCCGUAACUCAUCCCAACCGGUUCUGCCGCGGCCACCUGCCUCGCAGCAAGCCAGUCCGCUGGCACUGAUGUAUACGCAGAAACGUUGGUUGGAAGAAAUGCAAUACCUUUAUUAGGCAGAGAAAGCCCAGCUGGAUUAACCUAGUCUGUUUUGGGAGAUUAAGAACUGGUGUGAGGUAGCAUGGGUCCGAAGUGGUGAGGGGACAGAGGGCUCCUCUUCCACCAGGUUCCCUUAACACGGGGUCUGGGGUGGGAGAAGGGGGACAGCCCUCCUUCCUCAGGCCUGCUUCCUUCCAAUCUAAAAUGGCCUUGCUCUAACGGGUGUUGGGAUCUGCACAUUCUCCUCCGCCCCGGACAGCACUAGAGCCAGAGAUGGACUUUCAGAGCUGCUUGGAGUACGAGUUUAGGGUUGUCCUUGCCUCAGGCAGCCCAGCUAUCACCGAGGACUGGAACUGAGU